rnacentral:rRNA from 1 species
CAAUAGCGUAUAUUUAAGUUGUUGCAGUUAAAAAGCUCGUAGUUGGAUUUCGGUUAAGAGCGACCGGUCCGCCGUUUGGUGUGCACUGGUUGGUUUUAACUUCCUGUAGAGGACGUGCUCUGGGUUUAACGACCUGGACUCGGAGUCUACGUGGUUACUUUGAAAAAAUUAGAGUGUUCAAAGCGGGCUUACGCUUGAAUAUUUCAGCAUGGAAUAACACUAUAGGACUCCUGUCCUAUUUCGUUGGUCUCGGGACGGGAGUAAUGAUUAAGAGGAACAGUUGGGGGCAUUCGUAUUUCAUUGUCAGAGGUGAAAUUCUUGGAUUUAUGAAAGACGAACUUCUGCGAAAGCAUUUGCCAAGGAUGUCUUCAUUA